rnacentral:rRNA from 1 species
UGCUCAGAUUGAACGCUAGCGGGAUGCCUUACACAUGCAAGUCGAACGGCAGCACGGACUUCGGUCUGGUGGCGAGUGGCGAACGGGUGAGUAAUGUAUCGGAACGUGCCCAGUAGCGGGGGAUAACUACGCGAAAGCGUAGCUAAUACCGCAUACGCCCUACGGGGGAAAGCAGGGGAUCGCAAGACCUUGCACUAUUGGAGCGGCCGAUAUCGGAUUAGCUAGUUGGUGGGGUAACGGCUCACCAAGGCGACGAUCCGUAGCUGGUUUGAGAGGACGACCAGCCACACUGGGACUGAGACACGGCCCAGACUCCUACGGGAGGCAGCAGUGGGGAAUUUUGGACAAUGGGGGAAACCCUGAUCCAGCCAUCCCGCGUGUGCGAUGAAGGCCUUCGGGUUGUAAAGCACUUUUGGCAGGAAAGAAACGUCGUGGGUUAAUACCCCGCGAAACUGACGGUACCUGCAGAAUAAGCACCGGCUAACUACGUGCCAGCAGCCGCGGUAAUACGUAGGGUGCAAGCGUUAAUCGGAAUUACUGGGCGUAAAGCGUGCGCAGGCGGUUCGGAAAGAAAGAUGUGAAAUCCCAGAGCUUAACUUUGGAACUGCAUUUUUAACUACCGGGCUAGAGUGUGUCAGAGGGAGGUGGAAUUCCGCGUGUAGCAGUGAAAUGCGUAGAUAUGCGGAGGAACACCGAUGGCGAAGGCAGCCUCCUGGGAUAACACUGACGCUCAUGCACGAAAGGCGUGGGGAGCAAACAGGAUUAGUAUUC